rnacentral:rRNA from 1 species
AAGCGGAGGAAAAGAAACCAACAGGGAUUGCCCUAGUAACGGCGAGUGAAGCGGCAACAGCUCAAAUUUGAAAUCUGGCUUCGGCCCGAGUUGUAAUUUGCAGAGGAUGUUUCUGGCGCGGUGCCUUCCGAGUUCCCUGGAACGGGACGCCACAGAGGGUGAGAGCCCCGUAUGGUUGGACACCAAGCCUGUGUGAAACUCCUUCGACGAGUCGAGUAGUUUGGGAAUGCUGCUCAAAAUGGGAGGUAAAUCUCUUCUAAAGCUAAAUACCGGCCAGAGACCGAUAGCGCACAAGUAGAGUGAUCGAAAGAUGAAAAGCACCUUGAAAAGGGGGUUAAACAGUACGUGAAAUUGUUGAAAGGGAAGCGCUUGUGACCAGACUUGCGCCGGGCGGUUCAUCCGGGGUUCUCCCCGGUGCACUCCGCCCGGCUCAGGCCAGCAUCGGUUUUCGUUGGGGGAUAAGAACGGCAGGAACGUGGCCCUCCUUCGGGUGGGUGUUAUAGCCUGCCGUACGAUACCCUGACGGGGACCGAGGUUCGCGCUCCGCAAGGAUGCUGGCGUAAUGGUCAUCAGCGACCCGUCUUGAAACACGGACCAAGGAGUCGUCCAUUAGAGCGAGCGUUUGGGUGUCAAACCCGCACGCGUAAUGAAAGUGAAAUUAGGUGAGAGCUUCGGCGCAUCAUCGACCGAUCCUGAUGUUCUCGGAUGGAUUUGAGUAAGAGUUUUAACGGACGGACCCGAAAGACAGUGAACUAUGCUUGUAUAGGGUGAAGCCAGAGGAAACUCUGGUGGAGGCUCGCAGCGGUUCUGACGUGCAAAUCGAUCGUCAAAUAUGAGCAUGGGGGCGAAAGACUAAUCGAA